GCACUAGUAGCUCAGCCCUCAGAGCGUCG
rnacentral:tRNA from 2 species